GAAUAGGCAUGUGGUUCUCGAAGGCCCGGCGAGCUUUUUGCCUUUCGGUGUGCCGGCGGUCUUCAGCGUUCCUCGAACUCUACGGCCGUGCGCGUUCGACAGCAGUGGCUGAGGCGCCGUCGGCACCGCAACCAUCGUGCAGCACUGCGCCUGCGGAUGGGGAGUGGGAAAGGUGCCAGGCGCUGCUGCAGCGCUUUCAGUCACACGUGUACAUCUACCCAGGCCACGUGCCAGUGCAGCUAUGCAGAGAGACGCUAACGGGCAUCGAACAGGUGCUCGCGUCAUCGCCGGCGCGCUGCUCCGCCGCGGCCCGCAGGCUCUGGAGGGACGCGCUCGCUCUGCAUUCGCACUUGCCGAAGCAUGACAUUAGGGCAGCGGCCGACGCGGCGAGCGUGCUGCUGUUUUCCGACCAAGCCCAGCUUGGCUGCCGUGUGUGCUCGCAGGCUGCUAGCCAUCCCCAGUUCCUUCAAGCACUCCGCAGCGAGGCGGAGCUUACGGGCUGCCUGCGUCUUCUCAGCGUGCAUUCCAUGUGCGCGUGCGACUCACGUGCGGCUUUCUCCGCUCACUGGGCGGCCGUCCUCGCUGACUCCCUGGACGAGGCGAAGCAUGUCAUCGCCGCGGCGGAUAAGUCCAGGCGGGCACCCAUGGCACACGCAAUGGAGGUGCUGGCGUGGUCGCUAGACUGGCUGCAUCACGACAGUGGCACGUCAGACAGAGAGGCACUCAAGGCCCUGAAAACGAAGCUUCCUCGGUGGCUUCCGUUUCUCUUUGACGAGUUUGACGCCGCCGCCGCGAAGCCGUCGUCGCAGUCUCUGGCGCUUUUGCCGCCGCGUUGGCUGCUCACGAUGGCCACGCACGCGGAGAGCGACAGCGACGCUGCAACUCUGGAAAGGCUGCUGCGCCACGCGUUGGGCAGAGAGGAGCAGUACCAUGGCUACGCCGUGUUUCAGCUCUCCUCUCGCGUCGCCAGUCUCCUCGUGCGUCGCUUCCCCCACCACCCGAGCGCCGCUCAUGCGGUCGCUGCGCUUGGCACCGCCUUGCAGUGCUCGUCACUGAUCCCGUACGGUACAACGCAAGAGGGCUUUGACAAGGCCCUUGGAGUGCUUACCCGCAUGUCUGGGGCGCAGCCUUAUUUUGCCAUGCAGGAGCUGCUGCGCAGCCACUCGGCAGAGAUGGCGGCAAAAAUACAAGAACAGCACGGCGACCGACUCACUGGAAACGCUGACCUCAACUGGAGCACGGCCCUCACCUUUACAAUGCGGCAGGUGGAGGCGGCCGACCCUCACUGGCGCGUGUAUCUCCCAGAGACGCUGCGGCUUCUCAGCGAUGCUGGCAAGUCGAAGCAGUUUUGGAGUCUCCUGCAAGAAUACAACGCAGCGGACGCAAGCGCCAACAUCUCCGUGGCGGCGUCGCUGAGCCGCGCGAUGCAGCUUAGUGGGAGAUGGUGGCACGCGGUGGAGGUGUUGGACUUGCUCGCCGGCGCGCUACCUCCCCGGGACACCACUGAGGAGCAGUUGAUGACGACUGCGUGCGCCGAGACACUGCGGGUGCUGUUGCAGGCGAAACGGUGGAAAGAAGCGCUGCGUGUGUUCCUGCUGGUGGGCGAUGCUCUUCCGCCGACGGAAUCCGCCGUCGUCUCCAGGUUGCUCACGUCGAUGUCGAUGUCGGCCCCUUGGAGAGCGGCGCUGGCUGCAGCGGCAGAGAAGGGACUGGCUUCCGACACCACUCGGAUCAUUCUGCGCUGCUUGCAUGCCGGCGCACCGGCAGCCUUCCUGUCACACUAUCACCAACAGAAGAUGGCUGCGCCCAUCUUUGCUCAACACGGUCGGUGGGAUCUUGCGCGCACCCUUGUUGAGCAGCGUCCCAGCGACGUGUCACUGUGGCGUGCCCUUGUGCAGGCAAUGGAGCACUGCGCAGACGCUGUGGAUGAGCCGACGGCUGCCACCGUUUUCCGUGUGCCGCUUCCGCAAGGCCAUUGGGAUGACAUGCCGUUUGUGAACGCGUUCGCGCGUCUCUGUGUGCAGCGAGGCUGGCUGUCCCUCCUUUCGUCGCACCUGUCCUGCCUUCUUGCACCACGAGUCUCCCCUGCCUCGCCGGUGUCGGGCCUUCGAGUGGAGUACGAACACCUCCUUCGCUUUCUCCAGUCGAAUCGCUUGCCCCCAGCCCAGUUUGCCUUUACCAACUCGUACGUUGUCCACCAGUUCAUGUCGUGUGUGACGAGCCGACGCGUGUCUGUGGUGGCGAAACUACCGGCGGCGUCUGCGAGCACUAAGCGGCAAGCCUCCACCCAUCUGCGCGUCCCUUACGAGAACCUGAGUGCGCCGCGCCUAGAGGGCGACGGUACUGCAACCGUGCGGGCGACAUCCGCUCGCGCUACCACGUGCCUCAAGGAGCACUGCGUUUUCAGCAGUGCUAGCGGCCUUAUAGUCGGUUACAAAGUCCCUGCAUCCGCUCUCUUUGCGUCUGCGAGUGGGCUCCUGAAGGUUCUGGGCAACAGCGGAGUGUACUGUCUCGCGUAUCACAUGUCAGUCGCGAGCAGUGGCCUUUUUCUGCUCUAUCCGGCCUCUGCCAGUCUAACGUGGUACUCCGUGAAGCUGCGCGUGCGCCUCUGCGUGGCAGUGGUGCCAGCAGCGCCAUACGUGCCGCUGCUAGCAACAUCGUUCUUCGACCGCUAUGCGAUGAGGUGGCGCAGCGGUGAGGGCGAUCGCCACGAGGUGGAGGCUCUCUUGGUUGCUGCGAGUGGGCAAGAGGUGCCGCGCGCGUGGCGGUCUCUCAAGAUGGAUCUGAACGCGGAGGGCUGGGGACCGGUCGAACCCGAGGCAGGUGCCGGGGACAUGUAUCACAUCCUGGAGCUCCAGGUCUCACGCCGCGCGCCGACCAAUGAGGGCGAUGCGAUACCAGCAGACGUGGAGGUGUUCGCGUGUCGCGAGCGUUCACUGAAACCCCUGGGCGCGGACGCUAGCGAGGCGGCGGAGUGGGGUUUGUGAAGCAUAAACGUUCGCCGGCCUCGGCAGCGAACGUUUUGCGUGCGUAUUCCUGUAUCUUCGCUUGCGCACGCACCCGCGCGCAUCUUGAUCUCUGUACAUGUGCGUGCGACAGAGCCGUUGUUGUUCGUCACAGUUCACACCUGCCGUAAUCCAGCAUUGCAUUGUCACCUCCUCAGCCACCGCGUUAGCGAUAGGACCGCAAGAGAAAACUUUCUCCACGUGAGGGGAGACUUCUUCUUGGGUGAUCUCGAUUCCGUGCGGAUAACUCUGGGGGGGGGUGAGUGAGAGACGUAAAGUGAGGUCUUGCCGCACCCCACUCGAAUGCUGUCUGUGGGAUGCACGAAUCAGAAGGCCGCACCUUGGCGCCUGCUGAGCACCUCUUUCUGCUACGCUGGCUGCCGCUGCGGUCUCCUGCGUUGCUCACGUGCGCGGUUGCCGGUCAUGGCCCAACUACGCGCUCUCUGUUCCUGCUUGACUGCGCUCUCUCAUACGCCUCGCCAUCUCUCUCGUACGGCCCCCUUCAAUUCCUGGGCCGCCCUCCACGCGUCCUGUCUCGUCGAAUGCCGCCACGGCUGUCCUCAG
rnacentral:misc_RNA from 1 species